rnacentral:lncRNA from 1 species
AAGUCCUGGCCUCCUAAAACAACUCUUAACCAACCAAUCUAACUAUGGCUAACCGACUCCAUAAGUCCUGGACUCCUAAAACAACUCUCAACCAACCAAUCUAACUCAGUCUCUAACUCUUCAUGCUAUCGGACUCUAUAGACACAGCGCAUGCAUGUGCGCCUGGAAUUAGGACUCCCAGCCAUGACCUGAUCGCAUGCUGUUGCUGGGCUUACCCCCUGCAUACUGAUUAACCCCUCUGCCUACAAUGAUAGGUCUUACCGACCAUAACAUCACUCCCUCCCUCUGGAAACAGCUCGUCCUCGAGCUAGAACGAAGGAUGAGCCACACGGAAGCUGUCCACCGAUUCCCAAGUCGCGUCUGACGGAGGUAAACCUGCCCACUGCACCAAGAUGUGCCAAGAGCCGCGAACAGAGAUGUGCUUGGCUGGAUCAGGCCGUUCUGCAGCAUGGCCUCAUAUUGGGCCUCAAGCUCAUCCUUUUGAAUUUGCGGAUAUCUGUAGGAGCGAACAGCCACCGUCUCGGCUGCGGGCUUGAGAUGGAUGCGAUGAUCGCAAGCACGAGCCGGGGGCAGACCUAUUGGAGCGGCGAAGACGGUACAGUAAGACUCCAGUAGGUCCUGUUCAGACCCAGUGUUGGUGAAGAGAGUGCUAGCCAGCAGGCCAUGAGCCUCUGGAGCUAACAGUGAGCGAGAGGCGCCCACGCCCUCCCAAACGACGCGACGCCCACGGAAGGUGAAGGCCAUGCGGCGCGUCGCGAAGUCGCACAAGCUGUUUAACUUUCUCCAAGGUAGACUUCAUCUCGCUCGACCACUAUUGCCGUGGAAACAACUCUGUCGGUUGCAGCAAUGUAAAGGAGCAGGUCUUCGUUGGGCUGAGGCGCUGUGAGAACAGGCGGUGAAGUGAGGAAGGUCUUAAGCUGAGUGAACGCAGCGUCGGCGUCUUCUGUCCAGGAGAAUUUUUCUGACGCUUUCAAUAGUUUGAAAAAGGGGAGGCCUUUUUCUCCCAGCCUUGAGAUGAAACGACUGAGGGCGGCCAUGCAUCCGGUUAGCUUCUGAAUAUCCUUGACGUUCUUCGGUGGUCGCAUGUCGAGUACGGCUUUGACUUUUGAAGGGUUUGGCCGUAUGCCGUCGCAACUGACGACGUUGCCGAGCAGUAGACCGGAAGGAACGCCGAAAAUGCAUUUCUUGGGGUUGAGCUUCCACUUGUACCUAUUGAGUGCCUUGAAGGUUCGGUCUAAGUUGUCGAUUAGGGUGCUCGCAUCCCUUGUUUUUACGACCACGUCGUCCACAUAGGCCUCGACGAGGUCGUCGCGAAUCUCGUCGUGGAGGCAUUGCUGGAUGGCCCUUUGAUAAGUGGCCCCGGCGUUUUUAAGUCCGAAAGACAUGGUAGUGUAACAGUAUGCGCCGAAAGGUGUGAUGAAGGAUGUUUUGAUCUGAUCUUCUUCUUUUAACGAGAUCUGGUGAUAACCAGAGUAGCAGUCUAGAAAGGAGAGGAGUUCGCAUCCGGCCGUUGAGUCGACCACCUCGUCGAUGCGAGGAAGACCAAAAGGAUCUUUAGGACAGUGUUUGUUGAGAUCGGUGUAAUCAACGCACAUUCUCCAUUCAUUAUUCUUUUUGCGUACAAGAACCGGAUUGGCGAGCCAAUCGGGAUGAUACACCUCUUUUAUGAAUCCGGCUGCUAGAAGCCGUGUUAUUUCUGUCCUAAUAGCCUCCUUUUUGUCACGAGCGAACCGUCGCAGUUUUUGCUUGAUUGGUCUUGCGGUCUUCGAGACGUUUAAGGAGUGCUCGAUCAGGUUCCGUGGGACGCCGGGCAUGUCUGCGGGUUUCCAUGCGAAAACGCUCACGUUGUCCCUUAGAAACCUGACGAGCGCGUCUUCCUAUUUUGGAUCCAGGUUAGCCCCGAUGAGGGCUGUCUUCUCGGGGUUGCCCUCGACCAGCUGCACUUCUUUGUACUCCUUGGAUUUCGAAUUCUUUCUGGCUGUCUCCUGCUCAGGUAAUCGGAGCUGGUCGGGGGGCAGCUGUGCGGCUUGGUUUGCUGUUUCCGCCAUGCGGAUUGAGAGGUCAAUUGCCUCGGUGAUCUUGAAACUUUCUUCUUCGCAGGUGUACGCAGUGUAGACGUUGCCUCUGACGGUCAGGACACCCUUCUCCGUGGGCAUCUUAAGCACUAGGUACGAGUAGUGCGGGACUGCCAUGAACUUUGUCAGCGAUGGGCGGCCCAGUAUGGCGUGGUAGGUCCCGUCGAAGUCCGCGACUACGAAGUUGAUGAACUCCGUCCGGAAGUGAUCGGGUGUGCCGAAUUGGACAGGCAAUGUUAUCUGUCCGAGGGGCACCGAACUUUGACCUGGCAAAACCCCCCAGAAUUGGGCGUCGUAAGGUUUUAGUUGGGCCGGUGAUAUCUUGAGGGCGGGCAGGCUGUUGCGGAAGAGGAUGUCAAUGGAGCUUCCCCCGUCCACGAGCACGCGCUCGAAUCUGAUGCUGUUGAUGCAAGGAUCGAGAAUUAGUGGGAAACGACCCGGCUCCGGGAUAGCGGCCCACUGGUCCUUCCUGCUGAACGCGAUCUCCCUGUGGGACCAGGCGGGAAAUUUCGGAUCUGCGAUCAGCCCGUCCGUGCUGUCUAUGUUGAGGCAGGCUCUCUUCAACAGCUUUCUUUCUCGCUUGGACUCAGUGGAGACCUUGCCCCCGAAAAUGGAGUGGACCACGUCGGUGGGGCUGACGUAUUGGUGUCGGGGGUCCCUGUCUUGGUCCUCGUCCUCAUCUUCGUGGUCGUGCCCGUCGCGUUUGUUACUUUUCUUGGCGGUGUCUUCUUGGGCGGCCCGCCGUGUAUAGAUAUUUUUGAGGACGCGGCACUCUUCCAUGGUAUGGUUAGACUUUGGAUGUAGCUGGCACGGUCCCUUCAACGUUUUGUUGUAGUCAUCUUGGUAGUCCCGUCGUCCAUUGGGACGUUUGACCGUGUUUACUUCGUGGUCGUAUUCGCGAGGGCGCUUUCCUCUGAAGUCGUCGCGGCUGUCGCGCCGCCGAUCCCAACCCUCUCGGUGAUCGCGGUUGUCGGAGCGACGGUGAUUUCUGUUGUCGUAGCGGCCGCGACCGUCGUCUCGCCGGGAGGGCUGGUCGGUGCCUCUCGCAUCGUCUCGGAUUAGUUUUUCUGCGUCAUCAGCAUCGGCAUAAUUUUUAGCCGUGGCGAGGAGCUCUGCUACCGUUGAUGGACGUUUACGCAACAGCUUGUUCCUCAGCGCUUCAUGGAAACGUAAGCCCUUGAUAAAGGCUGAUAUGGCCUCGUCAUGAGAAAUCUUCGGGAUUUUGAGACGCAUAUCCGAGAAUCGUCGGAUGUAAUCACGCAGAGGUUCAUUCUUCCUGUCUCUUAUCCUUUCAAGGUCAUACUUGUUUCCGGGCUGUUCGCAUGUGGCGAUGAAGUUGUCAAUGAAAGCCUGUCGUAGUUCUUCCCAAGAGUCGAAGGAGUCCUCGGGCAAGCCGAGAAGCCACUGAUGACCAGCCUGGUCGAGGACUACGGGGAAGUAGUUAGCCAUGACGUGCUCAUCUCCUGCCGCUGAUCGGACGGCGAUUUCGUAGAGGGUGAUCCAGUUCUCUGGAUUUUCCUUGCCGUCGUAUUUUUUAAGUUUUUCGAGCUUGAAAUUUCUGGGCCACACGACCUGGCGGAGGUGUGAGGAGAACUGCCUUAGGCCCGGGGGACCAUGGGUCGCAUCGUACUCGAUGCGGCGCAGGUUUUCGUGGACUGCUCUCUCUGCGGCGCGCCUGUUGAUGCGGUCCCGGGCAUCUUUGGGAGGGAUGUUGUGGCGGAGAUCCCUGUGUUGAUCUUCUUCUUCCUGGCCGCGUACGCGGUUCUGCUGGCGGCGGCCAUCGGCGUCUCGACCACCAUCGUCGCGCCGUGAGUCCCCUCGACGGUUGUCGGGGGAGCGGCUGCGGCGACGCCUGCUGGGCGAGGCCCGGCUACGAUGAGUCUGGUCGGAGGCGGCUUCCGUAUAAGGGACGUCCUGGACUCUCUUAAGCAGAGUUGCUGUCUGUCCCAUCGCGGCGAUCAGGUGUGCUCGGAUACUGGUCCGGACCCCCUGGCAUUCUGGUGUGUCAGGAAGCCGAUCCAGGUUGGCCAUGGCGACAGCCACGUUGGCGCUUGGCGUUUUGUAGACCGGCUGGUCCCCGACCAUGUCAAAGGCAUCGUUGAGGUUACCCGGUGGCGUCUGUUGUUGCUCGUCCGCACGCCGUCGGGCGCGAUCGGCGUUACGCUGUUCGCGGAGUUGCCUCUGGUCGUCUGUUUCUCCGUCAACAACCGGUUCGUCGGCGCUGACAUUGAAUACAAUGUCCCCUCGCCGGGGGGGGAAUAUCGGGAACCGGUCGAAACCCGGAGGGUGUGAAGGGAAAUCCAGGUCGUAGCCCUCGUCUUCGGUGUUUAUAACCUCGGUGGGGACGGAGCCGGUGCUUGAGUUGGUGCUGGAAACCUGGCCGUUCCGUAGCUCUCGGAUUGUCACCAUGUUGACAUGGUGACGAUUGUUCCUUGUCGGCGACCAGCCCGCUUUGCUGAAAACGGAUUGAACAUGCUGUGAGUAGACAGAGGCCGAGUUAUUCAGGCCGCAAGGAUGGUCUCCCUUUUUGAGCUCGACGGAUCGGCCUGAGGAGGUUGAGGUUAUCGCCAGGGACGUUCCCAGCCGUUCGUGUGUGGUGACACGAGUUGGCCGGCGGGAUUUCGAAAAAUCCGCUUGAGUGGCUUGGUCGGGCCGGCGCAGAACUCCAUCUAUUAGUUGGGAGACUUCGAGCAGCUUGGAGUCGGCGCGAUCGAGCGCUUGGAGGAGGUCCGAGCAGUCGAUCUCCUUUCCCUUGUAGAGUGGGAACGGUGGCCGGGAGUUUGGUGCCGUCAUGCGUGUGGUCGGAGACGGCGUGAUCUCAGAUUGGAUCUGGAUCUCUUUCGGGACCGUGGUCGGGAAGCCGCCGCUGCACGUCGUCCACGUGAUCUGGCCGACGGUAAACGUGAGGCCUUCGGGCACGGUCGCGGAAGCUGGGAUCGUGGCCAUCUUGUUCGCCGGAAAAGUUGCACGCACACCCCCUACCUGGCGCGCCACUGUCGACGAAAGCUGGUCGGCAGUCUACCUUGGGGUAUACCCACGGUAGUAGUUUAUCGGUAGACGGUGCGCAAACUACGAACUCGAUGGUGACGCAAGACACGGACAAGCUUUUUAUCCAGGUUCGGCCGCCGAGUUGGCGUAAUACCUACGUCCUGCGUCUGGUUGUAAUGGAUUGUGUUGAGAGAUAAUCUACCCUAGGGGGUCCCCUUGCCCCUCCUUAUAUAGUCUGGAGGGCAGGGUUACAGAUCUAGAAACUAAUCCUAGCCGGUUACAAUUGCCAUAGAUAAUUCGAUAUCAAUUCCUAUUCUAACCGACUAGAAUCCUGCUUGAUCUCCACGUCCUGCUUCCUUGCGCGAAACUCGGGCUAUCGGAUCAAGCCUUGAACUCGUCUCGUAGUGGGCCGAGCUUCCUAGCUGAAGUCUAGCCGUAAGGGUAUAGGGGUUUAUACCCCCACAAUGGGCCCUAGGGUACGCAACCAUGCGAUGCCCAGGACGAUGUCGCAGCCCUGCACCGGGAUGGAGAACAUGUUGACCCGAAAGAUUUCUGACCGAUCUGCAGGGGAACCGCAUGGGCCAUGCCCUGGCACGCGACACGGUCACCAUUGGCCACGACAACGUGCGCGCCCUUGCUGUCGAGGAGGUGCAGACCUGCACGGCGCGCGGCGUCCGAGCUGAUGAAAUUGUGCGUAGAUCCUUAAUCCAGCAGCGCUAUGAGCUCAUGUGCGCCAAUCUGGACGCACAGCUGCAUGGUGUCCGAUGCGCAGAUUCCUGUGAUAGCGGACAGAGAGAUCAAAGGAGCGUCAGGAUCAAAAGGCGGCUGAUCAGUACCAAGCGGCGCUGCCUUGUCGUCGUCGGCGUCGUCUGGCUCCUCGACGAUGUAGUCGUUGACCUCGAGGUAGAACAGCCGGGCACACUUGUGCCCCCGUACAUAUGGCUCAUCGUAGUUGUAGCAGAGCCCCUGUUUGCGACGGUCCGCCAUCUCCUCGGGUGAAAGGCGCUUGAACGGGUGCUGCACAGCUGCAGCGGGCGCUGGUGGUGUCGAGGAGGAGCUGGCCGACGCCGGGAACGUGUUAGGCACCUUGGUGGAUCGGCGUCGUGGCGGCGCUGGCAACGCGAGCGGGGCUGGUGCGUUGCGGCGUUCGUAGGCGCGCGCGAGGUGCAUGGCGCGCUGCAGGUCUUGUGGAUCAUGAAGCUCGACGUCGACACGAAUGUGAUCAGGCAGUCCACCAGUGAAGAGCUUUGCCUUUUGUCCCGAGGAUAAUCGGCCUGCAUGCGCAGCGCGUGCUUCGAACGCCUCCAUGUAGGCGUCCACUGUGGACGUGAAGGGAAGGCACGCCAAAUUGGAGAGGUGAUUGGUGCUGAGGGGCGGCCCGAAACGCUGCUGGCAGAGAGUACGAAACUCCUCCCAUUGCGGCCGGCCAGCAUCAGAUUCUAGCACCAGGUACCAUUGUUGAGCGACACCGGUGAGAUGGUACGAAGCGAGCCAGACCCGAUCAGCGUGACGUGUCUGAUGGCUGUUUAAGAACUGCUCGCACUUGUUCAACCAGCCGAGGGGGUCAUCCUUGCCGUCGAACAGCGGGAACACAAGUUUGUGAUAUUUGGGUACGACAUGCCCCGUGUGUGAGUCCUCCGGAGGCGCCGGGACAUGCACCCGAGGAGGCGCGGAUGUCAUGGCGCCAAGGCUACUGGCACGGUCCCGAGGAUGGCCUCGAGGGUUGGGAUCGGAGACGGCGACGCCGGAAAACGAAUGUGCUGAAUAGGGACGCCGAAUGGGGGGCAGCCGUGGAACCCUGCGGCGCCGCGGCCGGCCCGGUCGUCGAAGGUGCUGACGGCGUCGGUGCAGAUGAAGACGCGGACGUUGCAGAGCCGGCGUCCUGGAGCAGCGGUAAGGACGGUGUCGGCAGCGAGGGGAGAUGACCCGCGCUCGGUGUGGGUAGCUAUGGGAACUGCGCGGCGGUAGGCAGAGCACAACCGUCCAGGGCCGACAGACGCGUUGCCAGAUCGCCCAUCUGGAAGCUCAUGGGGGAGCUCUGGUUCUGGAUGCCCUGGAUGGCGCUGGUGAAGGAUGUAAGCACGUCGGAGGGGAUGGCCAGCAUUGGUGCUGGCGGCGUGGAGGACGCAGCUGGCGGCGAUGUGGUUGCGGUGACCAGAGCGCCGGAGGAUGUUGUCACGGUCGUGCUGGUGCCGGGCGGGGCACUUGUGGAGGGCGGAACAACAGCGGAGGAUGUCCCAGCUAACACCAUGUUCUCUGAUACCAGAUUGUUACGGCGUCGGGUUUUGCUGCGCAGGAAGUAGGGCGGAGAGAAGGAAGCUCGUGUGCGUGGGUUUGGCGGCGUGUAGGCGCCGUGGCAGGAAGCUGGCAGCAGGGGCUCGACGCCCAAGGGAGAUAUAAAUCUCAAUCUCAGGCUGAAUUCUAUUACUCCAUAUGGUUAGCCUUUAUAGGCAUUACAAGACCAGCCAAUAAUAUGGCUAACCGACUUAAGUCCUGGACUCCUAAAACAACUCUUAACCAACCAAUCUAACUAUGGCUAACCGACUCCAUAAGUCUUGGACUCCUAAAACAACUUCCAACCAACCAAUCUAACUCAGACUCUAACUCUUCCUGCUAUCGGACUCUAUAGACACAGCGCAUGCAUGUGCGCCUAAAAUUAGGACUCCCAGCCAUGACCUGAUCGCAUGCUGCUGCUGGGCUUACCCCCUGCAUGCUGAUUAACCCCUCUG